GACGAACGCUGGCGGCGUGCUUAACACAUGCAAGUCGAGCGGUAAGGCCCUUUCGGGGGUACACGAGCGGCGAACGGGUGAGUAACACGUGGGUGACCUGCCCUCAGCUCUGGGAUAAGCCUGGGAAACCGGGUCUAAUACCGGAUAUGACUCCAUGACGCAUGUUGUGGGGUGGAAAGCCUUGUGCGGCUGAGGAUGGGCCCGCGGGCCUAUCAGCUUGUUGGUGGGGUGAUGGCCUACCAAGGCGACGACGGGUAGCCGGCCUGAGAGGGCGACCGGCCACACUGGGACUGAGACACGGCCCAGGACUCCUACGGGAGGCAGCAGUGGGGAAUCUUGCGCAAUGGGCGAAAGCCUGACGCAGCGACGCCGCGUGAGGGAU
rnacentral:rRNA from 1 species